rnacentral:tRNA from 1 species
GGCUGAUAAAAGCAUUAGACUGUAAAUCUAAAGAUAGGGGUUUAAGUCCUCUUUUUGCCA